CCUACGGGAGGCUGCAGUGAGGAAUAUUGGUCAAUGGACGGAAGUCUGAACCAGCCAUGCCGCGUGCAGGAAGACGGCGCUAUGAGUUGUACACUGCUUUUGUACAAAGGUAAACCUGAAUACGUGUAUUCAGCUGAAAGUACUGUACGAAUAAGGAACGGCUAACUCCGUUCCAGCAGCCGCGGUAAUACGGAGGAUCCAAGCGUUAUCCGGAUUUAUUGGGUUUAAAGGGUGCGUAGGCGGAUUGAUAAGUUAGAGGUGAAAUGUCCGAGCUUAACUCGGGAACUGCCUCUAAUACUGUUGAGCUAGAGAGUAGAUGCGGUAGGCGGAAUGUAUGGUGUAGCGGUGAAAUGCUUAGAGAUCAUACAGAACACCGAUUGCGAAGGCAGCUUACCAAUCUAUAUCUGACGUUGAGGCACGAAAGCGUGGGGAGCAAACAGGAUUAGAUACCCCUGUAGUC
rnacentral:rRNA from 1 species